rnacentral:rRNA from 1 species
GACGAACGCUGGCGGCGUGCUUAACACAUGCAAGUCGAACGGAAAGGCCCCUUGGGGGCUACUGUGAUGUCAACGGGGGACGUAACAGUGAAGAAUCCGGCCCUUACCUUCGAGAUAGCGAUAGCAAACGGAGGCUAAAACCGAUACGGGAUCCUUUCUUCAUGGGCGGGGUUGAAAAGUGUCGGCGGGUAUGGAUGGACUCGCGGCUUAUCAGCUUGUCGGUGGGGUAUGGUCUUACCAAGGCUGCGACGGGUGGCCGGCCUGAGAGGGCGACCGGCCACACUGGGACUGAGAGACGGCACAGACUCCUACGGGAGGCAGCAGUGGGGAAUAUUGCACAAUGGGCGCAAGCCUGAUGCAGCAACGCCGCGGGCGGGAUGACGGCCUUCGGGUUGUAAACCGCUUUCAGAAGGGGCGAAGCUAGUCGUGACGGUACCUAAAGAAGAAGCACCGGCUAACUACGUG